rnacentral:tRNA from 1 species
GAGGGUAUAGCUCAGUGAUCGUGUGUGUGCUUAGCACGCGUGAGGUCCUGGGUUCAAUCCCCAGUACCUCCA